rnacentral:rRNA from 1 species
CCUACGGGUGGCAGCAGUGAGGAAUAUUGGUCAAUGGCCGGAAGGCUGAACCAGCCAUGCCGCGUGAAGGUCAGUGCCCUAUGGGCGUUAAACUUCUUUUGUGCGGGAGCAAUAAUGGUCACGUGUGGCCAGACGAGAGUACCGUACGAAUAAGCAUCGGCUAACUCCGUUCCAGCAGCCGCGGUAAUACGGGGGGUGCAAGCGUUAUCCGGAUAUAUUGGGGUUAAAGGGUGCGUAGGCUGGGAGGUACGUCAGCGGUGAAAUGCCCCCGCUCAACGGGGUGAAGUGCCAUUGAUACUGCAGUGCUGGAAUGCGGAUGCAGUGGGAGGAAUGUGUGGUGUAGCGGUGAAAUGCAUAGAUAUCACACAGAACACCGAGUGCGAAGGCAUCUCACGAAUCCGCGAUUGACGCUGAUGCACGAAAGCGUGGGUAUCAAACAGGAUUAGAUACCCGAGUAGUC